AGUGAGCCGGAUUCUGCGGGAGACGGGGGCGCUCGUGGUGAAGGAUCCGCGGUGUUCUACUGAGGACAAUGAUCGGUUCAUUGAUAUGAUGGAGAGGUACUUCGAGCAGUCAGAUACCGCCAAGCGGUUUCAAGAGAGACCGCAUCUUCAUUAUCAGGUUGGAGUAACGCCCGAAGGGGUGGAGAUACCACGGAUUUUAGUGGAUGAAAAAUUGCAAGAAAAGGUAAAUCAGAUGCCG
rnacentral:misc_RNA from 1 species